rnacentral:ncRNA from 1 species
CGUGUGGUGUUCAGCUUCGGGCGGAAUAGCGACACGGCCUGUUGAGAGGU